rnacentral:rRNA from 1 species
GAUUGAACGCUGGCGGCAGGCCUAACACAUGCAAGUCGAGCGGAUGAAGGGAGCUUGCUCCUGGAUUCAGCGGCGGACGGGGUGAGUAAUGCCUAGGAAUCUGCCUGGUAGUGGGGGAUAACGUCCGGAAACGGGCGCUAAUACCGCAUACGUCCUGAGGGAGAAAGUGGGGGAUCUUCGGACCUCACGCUAUCAGAUGAGCCUAGGUCGGAUUAGCUAGUUGGUGGGGUAAAGGCCUACCAAGGCGACGAUCCGUAACUGGUCUGAGAGGAUGAUCAGUCACACUGGAACUGAGACACGGUCCAGACUCCUACGGGAGGCAGCAGUGGGGAAUAUUGGACAAUGGGCGAAAGCCUGAUCCAGCCAUGCCGCGUGUGUGAAGAAGGUCUUCGGAUUGUAAAGCACUUUAAGUUGGGAGGAAGGGCAGUAAGUUAAUACCUUGCUGUUUUGACGUUACCAACAGAAUAAGCACCGGCUAACUUCGUGCCAGCAGCCGCGGUAAUACGAAGGGUGCAAGCGUUAAUCGGAAUUACUGGGCGUAAAGCGCGCGUAGGUGGUUCAGCAAGUUGGAUGUGAAAUCCCCGGGCUCAACCUGGGAACUGCAUCCAAAACUACUGAGCUAGAGUACGGUAGAGGGUGGUGGAAUUUCCUGUGUAGCGGUGAAAUGCGUAGAUAUAGGAAGGAACACCAGUGGCGAAGGCGACCACCUGGACUGAUACUGACACUGAGGUGCGAAAGCGUGGGGAGCAAACAGGAUUAGAUACCCUGGUAGUCCACGCCGUAAACGAUGUCGACUAGCCGUUGGGAUCCUUGAGAUCUUAGUGGCGCAGCUAACGCGAUAAGUCGACCGCCUGGGGAGUACGGCCGCAAGGUUAAAACUCAAAGGAAUUGACGGC